CACAAGAAAUACAAGAGCGGCAGCACUGCGCUGUGAGAAACUUGCAGGAGGGUGCAAGAAGAGGGCAAACAUACCAGCGUACUUUGCAGGAGGUCCAAGGCUCAGGGACUUGUUGAGCAACAGCUAAAUAUAGCGGAUGCGGUCACCCAGAGUUGAAGAAAGCAAGAGUAUAUGCCAAGAAAAGAUGAACUGAAAAAUAAACACAAACCUUAUAUGCAGAAAAUACACAGUGUAUUUGUUCUGAACCAAACACAACAACCUUCUGCCAACUGAUGUGGCCCUUCCAGGAGCUGUAAGGAUGUGCUGUGCUUGUUAGAGGUGAUCUAAAUUCUGCCCUCAAGAGGAAGAAGCACCCAGAAAAGAAACCUGUAUCAAUUAAAAGUACUGA